AGCUCUGCUACUAGGAAGAAUGCAUGAAUGGUGAAUGCCACUUACUAAUUUCAUAACAAUUAUGUCUAAUCUAGCUUUGUGUAUGUAUAUAUAUAUAUUUAUAUAUCUAGCUAUAUAUUUAUUAGAUCUCUUUGGUUACAGGAAUGUUUGCAAUUUAGCAGUAAUCAUCUAAUUUAUAAUUUUUAUAUUAUGAUGCAAAACAGUUCAAGUAAUGAUAAAUCAGCACAAUUCUCCUUAAUAUUUUUCUUAAGCUGGCAAAUAAGCAACUGACUUUGAACAAUAGAAGGUAAAACAUUUAAAAAAAAAAAUUAUAUCCGUUUGUAUUCCUAUAAAGAGAGGAGGCAAGUAGAAACUGAUAUUAGAAUUACCCAAGCUGACAAAUGGAAACACCAGAAGGUAAUUUAGAAAACUCAUACUGAAAAACUCUACUGCUUUUAUGAUUAAUGCAUCAUGUCCGGUCUCUGCUCAAUGCUAAACUGAAAUAUGAAGUUUUGUAUUAAAUAUGACAUUACUUGAGGUAAAACUAGCAAAGAGACCAAAAAGAAGUUAAUUAAAGAAUGUAAGCUUAGGUCCUAAUGAUUUCCUAAAUUCCUAAGACGUGGGAAUACUGUUAAUACUAUAUUUACAUUUGGUACCUCAGUAUCAGAAGAAGUAGGGAAGGAGAGGUCUAUGGCUCAUCACAGACAUUUUUAUAUAAAGCCAGAAACCAUAUUGUCAUUUGAUAAAUGAGCCAAGAGCAAAACUUGACAGACAAAAAAAGAGAAGAGUGAAAUUUUCAGCCUGGGGAAGGGUGGAGGCUCUGCAAGUUUUCCAGUGACAGUUCUUGUGUGGAUUUUUAUUUCUGUGAAGUAGCAGAUUCAGUUGAAGGUGUAAUAUGGCUAACUCUUUGUCUUACAGAUCUAAGCAAAUUUAGGAAUCCUAGGAACUGGCUGGUAUAUCAGUUUGCAAGAGUAAUUUUAGGUGCUUGAAUUUUCAAGAAAAUAGGGAUAAAUCCUCUCUAUUGCAUGUUUUCCAAUGCUAUUAUGAAAAGGGACAACUUGCAAUUGCAGGAAAUACCAAAGUUCUUUUGGAAGGGAAAAUAUCGAGAUCUUGGCACUUAAGACUGCACUGAAAGAGUUGGGGUUGUUUAGCCUGGAGAAGGCUCAAGAGCAGCCUUAUUGCAGCCUUUCAAUAAGUGAAGGGGACUUACAAGAAAGAUGAGGUGGAAAUUUUUAAUAGGGCCUGUAGCAAUAGAACAAGGAGUAAGGGUUUUAAACUAAAAGAGUGUAAACUCAGAUAAGAUAUGAGGAAAUAUUUUUUUAUUAUUAUUAUGAGGAUGGCAACACCAAGAGAAGUGGUGGAUGCCCCAUCUCUGGAAAUAUUUGAGGUCAGAUUGAGUGGGGCUCUGAACAACUUCAUCUAGGCCCUGCUCAUUGCUGGGGUGUUGGAUUAGAUGACCUUUAAAGGUCCCUGCUAACUCAAAUCAUUCUAUGAUUCAAAUUAAAUAAAGACUGGUUGUUGAUAGUAUUUAUAUAAAUU
rnacentral:lncRNA from 1 species